UUAUCCGACGGCCCGGUGGUGACCACUCUUAUUGGGUCUAAAGCGUCCGUAGCCGGUCUAGUAAGUCCCUGUUUAAAUCCUCUGGCUUAACCGCAGGACUGGCAGGGAUACUGCUGGACUUGGGACCGGGAGAGGACAAGGGUACUCCAAGGGUAGCGGUGGAAUGUGUUGAUCCUUGGAGGACCACCUAUGGCGAAGGCACUUGUCUGGAACGGGUCCGACGGUGAGGGACGAAAGCCAGGGGCGCGAACCGGAUUAGAUACCCGGGUAGUCCUGGCCGUAAACUCUGCGAACUAGGUGA
rnacentral:rRNA from 1 species